rnacentral:rRNA from 1 species
GGGUUGUGAGGUUAAGCGACUAAGCGUACACGGUGGAUGCCCUGGCAGUCAGAGGCGAUGAAGGACGUGCUAAUCUGCGAUAAGCGUCGGUAAGGUGAUAUGAACCGUUAUAACCGGCGAUUUCCGAAUGGGGAAACCCAGUGUGUUUCGACACACUAUCAUUAACUGAAUCCAUAGGUUAAUGAGGCGAACCGGGGGAACUGAAACAUCUAAGUACCCCGAGGAAAAGAAAUCAACCGAGAUUCCCCCAGUAGCGGCGAGCGAACGGGGAGGAGCCCAGAGCCUGAAUCAGUGUGUGUGUUAGUGGAAGCGUCUGGAAAGGCGCGCGAUACAGGGUGACAGCCCCGUACACAAAAAUGCACAUGCUGUGAGCUCGAUGAGUAGGGCGGGACACGUGGUAUCCUGUCUGAAUAUGGGGGGACCAUCCUCCAAGGCUAAAUACUCCUGACUGACCGAUAGUGAACCAGUACCGUGAGGGAAAGGCGAAAAGAACCCCGGCGAGGGGAGUGAAAAAGAACCUGAAACCGUGUACGUACAAGCAGUGGGAGCACGCUUAGGCGUGUGACUGCGUACCUUUUGUAUAAUGGGUCAGCGACUUAUAUUCUGUAGCAAGGUUAACCGAAUAGGGGAGCCGAAGGGAAACCGAGUCUUAACUGGGCGUUAAGUUGCAGGGUAUAGACCCGAAACCCGGUGAUCUAGCCAUGGGCAGGUUGAAGGUUGGGUAACACUAACUGGAGGACCGAACCGACUAAUGUUGAAAAAUUAGCGGAUGACUUGUGGCUGGGGGUGAAAGGCCAAUCAAACCGGGAGAUAGCUGGUUCUCCCCGAAAGCUAUUUAGGUAGCGCCUCGUGAAUUCAUCUCCGGGGGUAGAGCACUGUUUCGGCAAGGGGGUCAUCCCGACUUACCAACCCGAUGCAAACUGCGAAUACCGGAGAAUGUUAUCACGGGAGACACACGGCGGGUGCUAACGUCCGUCGUGAAGAGGGAAACAACCCAGACCGCCAGCUAAGGUCCCAAAGUCAUGGUUAAGUGGGAAACGAUGUGGGAAGGCCCAGACAGCCAGGAUGUUGGCUUAGAAGCAGCCAUCAUUUAAAGAAAGCGUAAUAGCUCACUGGUCGAGUCGGCCUGCGCGGAAGAUGUAACGGGGCUAAACCAUGCACCGAAGCUGCGGCAGCGACGCUUAUGCGUUGUUGGGUAGGGGAGCGUUCUGUAAGCCUGUGAAGGUGUGCUGUGAGGCAUGCUGGAGGUAUCAGAAGUGCGAAUGCUGACAUAAGUAACGAUAAAGCGGGUGAAAAGCCCGCUCGCCGGAAGACCAAGGGUUCCUGUCCAACGUUAAUCGGGGCAGGGUGAGUCGACCCCUAAGGCGAGGCCGAAAGGCGUAGUCGAUGGGAAACAGGUUAAUAUUCCUGUACUUGGUGUUACUGCGAAGGGGGGACGGAGAAGGCUAUGUUGGCCGGGCGACGGUUGUCCCGGUUUAAGCGUGUAGGCUGGUUUUCCAGGCAAAUCCGGAAAAUCAAGGCUGAGGCGUGAUGACGAGGCACUACGGUGCUGAAGCAACAAAUGCCCUGCUUCCAGGAAAAGCCUCUAAGCAUCAGGUAACAUCAAAUCGUACCCCAAACCGACACAGGUGGUCAGGUAGAGAAUACCAAGGCGCUUGAGAGAACUCGGGUGAAGGAACUAGGCAAAAUGGUGCCGUAACUUCGGGAGAAGGCACGCUGAUAUGUAGGUGAAGCGACUUGCUCGUGGAGCUGAAAUCAGUCGAAGAUACCAGCUGGCUGCAACUGUUUAUUAAAAACACAGCACUGUGCAAACACGAAAGUGGACGUAUACGGUGUGACGCCUGCCCGGUGCCGGAAGGUUAAUUGAUGGGGUUAGCGCAAGCGAAGCUCUUGAUCGAAGCCCCGGUAAACGGCGGCCGUAACUAUAACGGUCCUAAGGUAGCGAAAUUCCUUGUCGGGUAAGUUCCGACCUGCACGAAUGGCGUAAUGAUGGCCAGGCUGUCUCCACCCGAGACUCAGUGAAAUUGAACUCGCUGUGAAGAUGCAGUGUACCCGCGGCAAGACGGAAAGACCCCGUGAACCUUUACUAUAGCUUGACACUGAACAUUGAGCCUUGAUGUGUAGGAUAGGUGGGAGGCUUAGAAGUGUGGACGCCAGUCUGCAUGGAGCCGACCUUGAAAUACCACCCUUUAAUGUUUGAUGUUCUAACGUUGACCCGUAAUCCGGGUUGCGGACAGUGUCUGGUGGGUAGUUUGACUGGGGCGGUCUCCUCCUAAAGAGUAACGGAGGAGCACGAAGGUUGGCUAAUCCUGGUCGGACAUCAGGAGGUUAGUGCAAUGGCAUAAGCCAGCUUGACUGCGAGCGUGACGGCGCGAGCAGGUGCGAAAGCAGGUCAUAGUGAUCCGGUGGUUCUGAAUGGAAGGGCCAUCGCUCAACGGAUAAAAGGUACUCCGGGGAUAACAGGCUGAUACCGCCCAAGAGUUCAUAUCGACGGCGGUGUUUGGCACCUCGAUGUCGGCUCAUCACAUCCUGGGGCUGAAGUAGGUCCCAAGGGUAUGGCUGUUCGCCAUUUAAAGUGGUACGCGAGCUGGGUUUAGAACGUCGUGAGACAGUUCGGUCCCUAUCUGCCGUGGGCGCUGGAGAACUGAGGGGGGCUGCUCCUAGUACGAGAGGACCGGAGUGGACGCAUCACUGGUGUUCGGGUUGUCAUGCCAAUGGCACUGCCCGGUAGCUAAAUGCGGAAGAGAUAAGUGCUGAAAGCAUCUAAGCACGAAACUUGCCCCGAGAUGAGUUCUCCCUGACUCCUUGAGAGUCCUGAAGGAACGUUGAAGACGACGACGUUGAUAGGCCGGGUGUGUAAGCGCAGCGAUGCGUUGAGCUAACCGGUACUAAUGAACCGUGAGGCUUAACCUUACAACGCCGAAG